GUGGUCGUAGCUCAAUUGGUAGAGCAUCAGUUUGUGGAUCUGAGGGCAGUGGGUUCAAAACCCAUCGACCACCC
rnacentral:tRNA from 1 species